CAGUAGCCGCGGGAAUACGAAGGGGGCUAGCGUUGUUCGGAAUUACUGGGCGUAAAGCGCACGUAGGCGGAUAUUUAAGUCAGGGGUGAAAUCCCAGAGCUCAACUCUGGAACUGCCUUUGAUACUGGGUAUCUUGAGUAUGGAAGAGGUGAGUGGAAUUCCGAGUGUAGAGGUGAAAUUCGUAGAUAUUCGGAGGAACACCAGUGGCGAAGGCGGCUCACUGGUCCAUUACUGACGCUGAGGUGCGAAAGCGUGGGGAGCAAACAGGAUUAGAUACCCCCGUAGUCCCUGUCACUUAUAC
rnacentral:rRNA from 1 species